rnacentral:tRNA from 1 species
AGAAACUUAGGUUAAACCCGCCCAAACCAAGGGCCUUCAAAGCCCUAAAUAUGGGACACCAUCCCAUAGUUUCUG